rnacentral:lncRNA from 1 species
CAGCUGUUUACUACAGUGAACUAAGGUAACACCCCUUAUUUUUCAAGUACCAUCCUGAGUAUUCAAGUGAUUCCAAGCAGUGCUGUUUUCUGCAAGUGCUCCACCCUUAUUGCAGCCCCUAUUUGUUCCACGUACUUCUCAAGAAUUUUACUCACCAUUCCCAGGGCUCCAACAAUUACUGGUACUAAUACCACCUUUUACAGUGACCACAACUAUUAUUAUUAUUAGUAGUAGGAGUGACUGUUUGGUAAGUAUAGGCUGUGUGGUAAGUAGCUUGCUUACCAACCACAUGGUUCCGGGUUCAGUCCCACUGCAUGGCACCUUGGGCAAGUGUCUUCUACAAUAGCCUCAGGCCAGCCAAAGCCUUGUGAGUGGAUUUGGUAGACAGAAACUGAAAGAAGCCUGUCGUAUAUAUGUAUAUAUAUAUGCAUGUGUGUGUGUAUAUAUUUGUGUGUCUGAGUUUGUCCCCCCAACAUCGCUUGACAACCGAUGCUGGUGUGUUUACGUCCCCAUAACUUAGUGGUUCGGCAAAAGAGACCAAUAGAAUAAGUACUAGGCUUACAAAGAAUAAGUCCUGGUGUCAAUUUGCUCGACUAAAGGUGGUGCUCCAGCAUGGCCACAGUCAAAUGACUGAAACAAGUAAAAGAGAUUAUUAUUAUCAUUAUUAUUGGAGACUUGCUCAGUAUCCAAUAUUGUGAGGCUGUUGAUUGAAGAUAUUGUGUCUUCUGGGGUUUUGUCCUGCCUGUCAAGUCACAACAAGGACCUCAGACAGGACUCUACACAAUAUUAUUAUUAUUGUUGUUAUUAUUAUUAUUAUUAUUGUUGUUGUUGUUGUUUAGGCAGUGAACUGGCUAAAUCAUUUGCACACCAGAAAAGAUGCUUAACAGCAUAUUAUCCACCCUCACCUGAGUUCGAAUUGUGCUGAGGUCGUUUUUGCCUUUCAUCCUUUUGGGGUUUAGAAAAUAAGUAUCAGUUGAGAAGUGGGGGUCAAUGUAAUUGAUUUCCUCCUUUUCUCAAAGAGCUGCUGGCUCAGUGCCAAAAUCUGAAACCAUUAUUAUCAUUACCAUCAUAAUCAACGGAUGCGUGUUAACAGAAUCCAGUACAAUACCAGACAUGAUGCAUUGCAGCAUCAAGUUACAUCCCUUUAUGUUGUGAGAUCUACAAUGAUUAGACAGACCAUUCUUUCUGUCUUUCUGUCUGUAUGUCUCUCAGUCUAUCUAUCCAUCUAGCUGUCUAUCUAUCAAUCUAACUGUCUGUCUAUCUAUCUAUCAAUAUAUCCAUCCACAUCUAUUUAUCUGUCUGUCUAUUUAUCCACCUAGCUGCCUGUCUAUCUAUCCAUCCAUCCAUAUCUAUCUAUUUAUCUGUCUGUCUAUCUAACUAUCUAACUACACACACACACACAUACACGUGCACACACACACACACGAAUAUAUGAUGUAUAUAUGUCUAUGUAUGCUUAUGUGUAUCUAUAUAUAUAUAUAUGUAUUUGUGUGCAUGUGUGUGUGUGUAUGUGUGUGUGUAUUAUUUACCCAUAAAGCUAAAGAAAUGUUGCUAUAAAAACAAUGCAAAGAAAUUUAAUGGCACCACUUUUAAUACCGAGAGCAGAUUUGUACAACCACACACACACACACAUAUAUACACACACACACACAAACAUACAUACAUGCAUACAUAGAUACGUGUAUGCAUACACACAAAGUAGGCUUUCUACCUCUCCUAUUACACAGUUUUGUUACUUGUAUUACUUUUCACUGGAGCAGAAGAUCACUAGUUGUCUCAUAUUUCCCUGCCUUACUAUACAUGUGUAUGUGUCAUUAUAUUUAUAUGCGCGUGUGUGUGUGUGUGUGUGUGUAUGUGUGCUUGUGUGUAUAUAUAGAUAUAGAUAAGUAUGUACAUGUACUGUAUAUGUAUGUAUAUGUAUGUAUAUAUAUAUAUAUAUAUAUAUAUGUAUGUAUGUAUGUAUGUAUAUCUAUAUAUGUAUAUAGGCCCAGGAGUAGCUGUGUGGUAAGUAGCUUGCUUACCAACACAUGGUCAUGGGUUCAGUCCCACUGCGUGGCACCUUGGACAAGUAUCUUCUACUAUAGCCUCGGGCCGACCAAAGCCUUGUGAGUGGAUUUGGUAGAGGGGAAGCUGAAAGAAGCUUGUCGUAAAUAUACAUGUGUGUGUGUAUGUUUGUGUUUGCCCCCCACCAUCACUUAACAACUGAUGUUGGCAUGUUUACAUUCCCAUAAACUUAGUGGUUCAGCAAAUGAGACUGAUAGUAUAAGUAUUAGGUUCAAAAAGAAUAAGUCCUGGGGUCGAUUUGUUUGACUAAAGGUGGUGCUCCAGCAUGGCCACAGUCAAACUGACUGAAACAAAUAAAAGAAUAAAAGAAUAUAUGUGUGUGUGUGUGUGUGUGUGUGAUGGGGGAUGCAAGCAAGUUUGUAUAGCUACAAUGGUCUUUUUGCAUCUAAAUGGUUCUGGUUAGUCUGACUGUGUGACACCUUGGGUAAGUGUCAAUUAACUAUAGCCUCAGGCUGACCUACCAUAUGCAUUGUGAUUGAAACUCGUAGACGGAAACUGUGAGAAGCCCAUCAUGGGUGACUGUGUUUGUAAUUGUUCCUUCACCACUUGACAACUUGUGUUGGUUUGUUUAUGUCACAGUGACUUAACAGUUUGGCUAACAAGAAGAAUAGACCAAUUAGGUGCAGGAGUGGUUGCAUGGUAAGAAGUUUGCUUUCCAACCACAUGGUUCUGGGUUCAGUCCCACUGCAUGACAACUUGGACAAGUGUUUUCAACUAUGGCCACAGGCCAACCAAAGCCUUGUGAGUGGAUUUGGUAGGCAGAAACUGAAAGAAGUCUAUUGUGUAAAUGUGUGUGUGUGUGUUUAUGUGUGUGUCUUUGUGUGUGUGCUUGUCCCCCUUCCAUCGCUUGACAACUGAUGUUGGUGCGUUUAUGUCCCCGUAACUUUGUGGUUCUGCUGAAGAGACUGAUAGAAGUACUGUGGUCAAUUUCUUCAACUAAAGGGUGGUGCUCCAGCAUGGCCACAGUCAAAUGCCUGAAACAAGUAAAAGGAUUCAAGAGAUAAGAACCAGAUUCAAAAUUAGUACUGAGGUCAAUUUCUUUGAUGAACCCUGGAAGGCAGUGCUCCAGCAUAGCCACAAUCCAAUGCUUGGAACAAAUGCAAUGAGUAAAAUUCAUGAUAUCAGGGUCUCACUAUUUCAAAACCAAACUAAAACUAUAAGCUGCAGAUUCCAUCUUGGACAAAGGAAAAUGUUUUCCAGCAUUCAUCUUUGUGCCAUCUGUCUUAUCGUAUCAAUGGGGAAAUUUAAAUAAUGGCAAAUGGCAUCAGGCUAGAAUGAGUUUCUCUUUCUGUUAUCUUUCUGCCACUUGUUUGAGGCAUUAGAUUGUGGCCAUGCUGGGACAAAGCUUUGAAGAAUUUUUGUUGAAUGAAUUGACCCCACUCCACCAGGACUUAAAUAUUUUUUUAAAACCUGGUACUUAUUCUAUUGAUUGCUUUUGCUGAACAGCUCAGUUAUGGGGACAUAUACACAUACACAUACACAAAGACAGACACACACACACACACACACAUUUACACAGUAGGCUUCUUUCAGUUUCCAUCUACCAAAUCCACUCACAAAGCUAUAGCAGAAGACUCUCAAGGUGCCACACAGUAGGACUGAACCCAGAACCAUGAGGUUUUGAAGCAAGCUUCUCACCACACUGCCAUGUCAGUGCCUAUAACUAUACUCUACCACUUGUACUGAGCAACCACCACCACCCCACACACAAACACAGUUAGCUGUGCACCAUUCCUGCUUCAACAAAUAACUAGUAUAAUAGUAGUUGAUACUAGUUGAUAGUAUAAGACAUAUAUUGUUAUGCGUGUGUGUGCUUAUGUGUUCAUAUGCAACUUUAAAUAUACACGCACAGAUAUCAAUAUCUAGAUCUCUAUCUGUACACACACAUAUAUACAUAUAUAUGUAUAUAUGUGUGUGCGUGCGUGUGUGCAUAUAUAUAUAUAUAAAAAUAUAUAUAUGUAUAUAUAUAUAUAUAUAUAUAUAUAUAUAUAUACAUACAUAAUGUAUGUAUGCACAUACUGUCAUAGAAUUAGCUGCCAGUCAUGUACAGAUUCACCUAGAACUGAAAUAGAAUUAACUUUGUAACGAAGUUAACCGAAUAAAGAGAUCACACACACACACACUCAUAUGCACUCUCACAGAAGGACACACACACACGCAUUUGUAUUUUUGUAUUUCAUCUCAAUCUGCAUUUCUUGUUAUUGUGUAUAUAUGUGCAUGGUUGUGUUCUGUGUAUGUGUGUAUCUGCUUGUAUGAAUUUAUUUAUGUGUCGUGUGUGGUCUUGUGCACGCAUGCCUGUCUAUGUACAUUGUGUAUAUAUAAGCUAAUCUAAACUAAUUUUUCUUGGAAGUGUGUGUCCGUGUGUCCUAGUUCUUUGUUGUCCUUCACACAUUCUGUUGUGGAAUUGGCUUUUGAUGUAUAGUUAUGGCAACGAACUCCGGAUAGCUGAACUCACCCACCUCUUAUACCACAUACACAUACAUAGAUUAACAUCUACAUUUAUCUGUGCGCACUCACAAAAAUGCACUCCUAUAUAUGUACUUUUAGAUGUACAGAUAAAGCAUGGAUGUUUGUGAUAUUCAUAAAAAAAUAUUAUAUAUAUAUAUAUAUAUAGAAAGAUAUAUAUAUAGUUAAUCCAAACAUGAAAUCACAAAGAGAAAACACAACAACACGAGGACGUGGAACAAGUAUAGUAUUAUUGGAUGCUCAGGAAAGAAGGAAAGAAGGAGGGUUUAACGUUUCGAGCGGAGCUCUUCGUCAGUAACAUAGGAAAAGGAAAGAUCCAAAGAAGGGAAGAUGGAAGGAAAAAAAUUGCCAACGGUACACGCAUGGUCACAUUUUGAAUGACCGGAAGGGAAUGGGUGAAGAAAAAGUUCUUUCAAAGACAGGAGAGUGCAAGAGGAGGUAUGUGUGUGUAAGUGUGGAUAUGUGCGUGCAUGCAGGUCUGCGUGUGCGCAUGUAUGUAUGUGUGCAAUGAUAACACGUGUGUGUGUGUGUGUGUGUGUGUGUGGUUGUGGCUGUUAAUUUUUGUGUGUUGUAGGGCUUAGUAUUGUUUAAGGUCAAGGACGAAUGAAGUAGGAGUGGCUCUUGUGUCUAUCUACCCAUGUGCUUGGAAGAAUGGUCAGUGAAAGGUACUGGUAGUUUGAAGUGUGUGUGCGUGUAUGUAUAUGUAUUGUGUGUGUGUGUUUUGUUUGUAGUGUGAGUGUGUGUGUGUGUAUGUAUGUGUGUGUUCGUAGGUGUAUGCGUAGAGGUUGUGUGUGUGGCGAAUAACUGUGCUUUACUUUGUGUAUGUGUGUGUGUGAACGUGGAGAUGUGUGUCGUGUCAAGUUGUGUGCAUUUUGUUGUGUGUACGCACGUGUGCUUGAGUAUGUGCGUGUAUGUGGUUGUGUGUACGUUUAUAUGUGUGUGUGUCUAAAGGUAUGUGUGUCUGUACGUUUGUGUACGUGUGUGUAUGUGUACGCACAUGUGUGUAUAUGCGUGGGUGUAUGUGGGUGUGUGUAUAUGUGUAUGUAUGCGUGUGUGUAUGUGUUCCUGUACAAAAACGAUAAUUUAUAAAAACAUUAAAUUAUAAACAAUAAAGAACAAAAAAUUAUAAAAACAAUAAAAUAAAAGGAAGUUGAUCCAAUAUAAAAGAUGUAAUUGCACGUAAGGAAUGAAAAAUGAAAAAGAGAAGAGAAGAAAGAAGAAAUAAAGUUGCUUGUUGCGAAAGGUGUAGAGGCAGUCACUAAGAGGAGGGAGCUGUGUUAAGUCCGUGCGGGAUAUUAGUCUGUAAAUUGAAUAUAUGUCGCUGUUCCAAGGGAAGCCUAGAUUGUGGCGAUCCAUUGUGUAGGGUGAGGCGAAACACAGAGAUGUUAGAGGGGGAAUGGUUGGCCAAGCGGAAGUGACGGGCGACAGGAGUGUUGGAACGUAGCUGAACAUCCCUUAGAUGUUCGGUGAACUGGUCGGCCAGUCGGCAACCCGUCUGACCUACAUAAAGCAUCCCACAGAGGUUGCAUUUAAUGCAGUAAAUGAGGCCAGUCAACAAAAUCAAAAACAAUCAAUGUGCAUGCAUGAAAUAGAAAAUUAUGAAGUGCAUGCACAUUGUUUUUGAUUUUGUUGACUACACAGUGUAGUAGGGUCAGUUGGGCACCAUCUGGGAGAAAAACAGUAUUAUGACACAAUUCACUCUGCCAGAAAUUUCGAAAUGACAUAUUGUGCUGCUUGGCAUUCAUGCCGGAAACUCCAAUAUGAACAUUUCUGAGUAUUUAGGUCUCAAUCUGAGGACAGUGCAAUCUGUGGACAUGUACCGAGAGUGAUAAAAAUCAAACAUCCAGUCAACAUCACGGUGUUUGGAGUGUUUGCUAGUGAUGGUCAUGUUAUGCCUACGUUCAUCUUCCAACGCACCCUCAGACUCAACAAGGCCUACAUCACGUGCCUUGAGUAGGUAGUGCUGCCCUGAGUGACGAGGCUGGCUACUGGAACACCCUGUCUGGCAACAGGACUCUGCAUCAUGCCAAACAAGCAGGAGAACCCAGUCAUAGCUGUCAGACAAUUUCUGUGACCACAUCACUUCUAACUCCCCAGACUGCAACUACCUUGAUUAUUAUGUGUGGGGCACAGUUGAGUGAGAGACCAACAAAACUCCUUGUAACACCAAAGAUUAAACGAAGGCAAGGAUUCUGGCAACAUUCACCAAUUUAAACAAGGAGAUCAUCCAUAAGAGUUGCAGGAGAUUCUGAAGUCGUCAGGAGGCCAUGGUUGAAGCCAAUGACAAUUUUACUGAAUAAAUUUAUUCUUUAGUAUUUCAAGAUAUCUUUAUGCAAUUUGGGUAAAUAUAUCUGUUAAAAUGAGAUAUCAGUGUUAUUUUCAUUUUUGCAUAAUUUAGAUGACAGUUUAUUCACUGCACCCUGUAUAUAUAUUAUAUUCACUUAUAUAUUGAUUAUUCAUUUUUAUACUUUUUGUGAUCUAGUUAUAUGUUUUAUAAAAAUAUAUUUUAUUUUUUAUUUAUAAUUGGGUUUAUGUCUAUCAUUGUUUGAAUUGCAUAAUAGUGGUUUUAUCUCUAAUUUAUAUAUAUAUAUAUAUAUCGUUGCUAUUAUGUUAAAUGUCCAAAUUUGGCCAAAUGCAUUUUUGCAGUAUUUAAUUUUGUUUGCGAUAGCUGGUUCUUUUGGUCAAACUAUCUUCAGAUAGUUCAAGCUGCUUCAGAUGCCAAGAUAUGAAAAUUGUCAGAGUGUAGUAGAACAGUUUAGCAUUUUUCAAAAAUGUACUAAGUCCCACAUACGACAGUUUUGCAAGAAUAUUUCUGCCUGAAAAUAUCAUACAGGCAUGGAGUUAGGAUUUUAUGCCCCCAACAAAGAAUUAUUGUUAAGCUGUAUCUGUUGCUAAUGUAAAAAGAAAUGGUAUGGUGAAACUAUUUUUAUGUUUUCUGAAAAAGCAAUGUUUUGGACUUACAACACUUUUGCAUAAUAGCAAUGAGAUAUAUAUACGUUUAUGUGCAUGUAUAUGUGUAUGUAUGUAUGAAUGUGUGUAUGUAUAUAUAUAUAUAUAUAUAGGGUUUCCAGGCUAAAUUUGAUGGCUUCUUUUAUCUCACCUUUUUUCAGGAGCAGCUUGAUGUAUUGCUUAACAGCAAAAAGCGUUGGGGUUGCAUAAAGAUUAAAGUCGUAGCUGAGAAAAAAGUUGGCUGACAUGGAGGACUGGAAGUCAUUUGGAUAUUGGAAAAGAGUUAUAUGUAUUGUGAUGAUUUGCACUGGAUGUGAAAACUGCUCUCACAACUGCUGCUCAAUGUUCUGUGAACACUGUAAAGGCUGUAAGACAUGACAUGGAAAGCUGCAACAGAGAUUAUGAAACUAUGGCCAGCUGGAAAGGACACAGCAGGCAAUCUGACUGUAUUCACAAGCUGGAAUUCAUUGCCCCAUCUUUGAUCAGGGCCUUAAACUCAUUUCAGAUGGCCAUGUAAAGCUGUUGGAGCCUGUGAUCAAUCCAUGGUUAGAGAGGGCUGCUUCUAGAAGGCCUUAUGCAUUGCAGCAAAUUUGGCUCCUUGCCAUAUUUCCAGAAAGAGUGAGAAGUGGUUGUCAGAGAUUUUCACCAGCCCCAAUUUCUGGUCUUCUAAUUCCAUGGAUUACUAUGUAUGUGCUGCUUGCAACAUCAAGGCCAAACUAGUGGCCAAGAUCAAGGAGGCAUUCAAAGAUUUUCC